rnacentral:rRNA from 1 species
UACAGGGGGUGGCAAACGUUGCUCGGAAUCAUUGGGCGUAAAGCGCACGUAGGCGGUUCGUUAUGUCGGAUGUGAAAGCCCUUGGCUUAACCGAGGAAGUGCAUCCGAAACUGGACGAGCUAGAGUACGAAAGAGGAUCGCGGAAUUCCCGGUGUAGAGGUGAAAUUCGUAGAUAUCAGGAGGAACACCGGUGGCGAAGGCGGGUCUCUGGGCAGUAACUGACGCUGGAGGAGCGAAAGCGUGGGGAGCGAACAGG